AGUGAACGCUGGCGGUAGGCCUAACACAUGCAAGUCGAACGGCAGCACAGUAAGAGCUUGCUCUUACGGGUGGCGAGUGGCGGACGGGUGAGGAAUACAUCGGAAUCUACUUUUUCGUGGGGGAUAACGUAGGGAAACUUACGCUAAUAACGCAUACGACCUACGGGUGAAAGCAGGGGAUCUUCGGACCUUGCGCGAUUGAAUGAGCCGAUGUCGGAUUAGCUAGUUGGCGGGGUAAAGGCCCACCAAGGCGACGAUCCGUAGCUGGUCUGAGAGGAUGAUCAGCCACACUGGAACUGAGACACGGUCCAGACUCCUACGGGAGGCGGCAGUGGGGAAUAUUGGACAAAGGGCGCAAGCCUGAUCCAGCCAUACCGCGUGGGUGAAGAAGGCCUUCGGGUUGUAAAGCCCUUUUGUUGGGAAAGAAAAGCAGCAGGUUAAUACCCCGCUGUUCUGACGGUACCCAAAGAAUAAGCACCGGCUAACUUCGUG
rnacentral:rRNA from 1 species